UGUUGAAGUAAAGUUAGGUUAGGUAGCUGUCAGUUUAUUUUUUUGUUUUCAGCUUUCUUUUGACGUUUCUGGCAGGGCUAUGAAAGUCUCAGCUGACUCCAUAAGAAAUACAUGGGGAGCUUACGGAACGACAUAAAGAGGUCACUGGCGUCACUAAAGGUGCUCCGACCUUGAAGAACAUAGUUUCUUUUUCAUUUUAAGGUUUUCGGUGAACGUUUUGUCUGGUUUUGUCAACAAGAAAUGUCAUAUUAUUUACGGAAUCAUACGGGAUGUUGGGUUAUGGGGUUAAAAACAAACGUAAAAUUUAUUGUAACAAAGUAAUAGAUACUUACGACACAGUCUUACGAUACAUGUAAAAAAUACUAGAAAAUUCCAGGCUAAAGAGGUCAACAAACUGCAGUGUGUAAAAAAUUCUAACUCUAAUAAAAACUGAGACGAGGUAAUCAAGAGGAAAGUCUUUGCAGGGGUGGUGGAAUGGUAUUUUUGUAUGGUUCGUUUUUUAGCCGCAAACCAGUUAACGAAUACAGUGCAUAAAUUGGGAAAAACUCACAAAAUGUAUUACCCACUACCGGAGUAUAAACUGCAAAAUGUUCAGGUGGCAUCAUUAAAUCGCCAAAAAUCACAUCUUCAUUGAAAACUUUAAAAUGUCACAGAAUUAAAACAGGAUGUACCACUUCGUAAGAAUGUGCAAAGUUCUCACAAACUUCGCAGAAGUGGUGGUGUAAGAAUUUUCGUAUUAAUGAAUAUCCACAAACAUACCAUAAACAGUUGUGUUCUUUCAAGGUGAGUUUCCGGUAACUCACAUCACUUAAUGAUUCUUGAAGAGACCGGAAUACAGGGAAGAUGUGUUGUGGAAGUUUAUUUAAAAGAACACCUUAGCAAAUUUUUCAUUUCAAAUAAAAUAGUGUUUCACAGUUGGUUCUUGCACUUGUAUCGAAAUAAUCUGUAGUAAAUAGUUUCCGAAACGUUCUUUGGAAUUCUAUUGGUGUGGGAUUUAUACAAUUCCCAAAUUGACGCCUCACAGAGCCAAACAAAUAUGUCAAACAAUACUGAUUUAGUUGCAGCAACCUUUUAGUGAAAAUUGUAAACAAAUUGUAUUCUGUGAAAACUAUUAAAAAUAAUAAGCAAAAUGUUUAUGUUCCUGAA